GUAGUUAGCCGUGGCUUCCUCCUUAGGUACCGUCAUUAUCGUCCCUAAAGACAGAGCUUUACAAUCCGAAAACCUUCUUCCCUCACGCGGCGUUGCUGGGUCAGGCUUGCGCCCAUUGCCCAAUAUUCCCCACUGCUGCCUCCCGUAGGAGUCUGGACCGUGUCUCAGUUCCAGUGUGGCCGAUCAGCCUCUCAGCUCGGCUACCCAUCGUCGGCUUGGUGGGCUGUUAUCUCACCAACUACCUAAUGGGACGCGAACCCCUCUAAAAGCGAUAAAUCUUUGACCUCUUCCCGAUGCCGGGUUGUGGUCUUAUGCGGUAUUAGCAGUUGUUUCCACCUGUUAUUCCCCAUCUUAGGCAGGUUGUUCACGCGUUACUCACCCGUGCGCCACUAGAAUUAUCAAUUCCAUCCGAAAACUUCCUUAAUAAUCCCCGUUCGACUUGCAUGUGUUAGGCACGCCGCCAGCGUUCGUCCUGAGCCAGGAUCAAACUCUGA
rnacentral:rRNA from 1 species